UGGACAGAUUAUUGUAUUCGACUGUAUUCACGGCGUGAAACAGGAGAUUACACUGUUUUUAAACGGAAAGUGAAUCAAUUAACAUAAUAGACUCCU
rfam:Nicotiana sylvestris Nsyl_contig113413, whole genome shotgun sequence.